rnacentral:rRNA from 1 species
CACGGGUGAGUAACACGUAUCCAACCUGCCGUCUACUCUUGGACAGCCUUCUGAAGGAAGAUUAAUACAAGAUGGCAUCAUGAGUCCGCAUGUUCACAUGAUUAAAGGUAUUCCGGUAGACGAUGGGGAUGCGUUCCAUUAGAUAGUAGGCGGGGUAACGGCCCACCUAGUCUUCGAUGGAUAGGGGUUCUGAGAGGAAGGUCCCCCACAUUGGAACUGAGACACGGUCCAAACUCCUACGGGAGGCAGCAUG